rnacentral:rRNA from 1 species
UAUCAACUUUCGAUGGUAGGAUAGAGGCCUACCAUGGUGGUAACGGGUAACGGGGUGUUAGGGCACGACACCGGAGAGGGAGCCUGAGAAACGGCUACCACAUCCAAGGAUGGCAGCAGGCGCGCAAAUUACCCAAUCCCGACACGGGGAGGUAGUGACAAUAAAUAACAAUACGGGGUUCUUUCGGAUCUCGUAAUUGGAAUGAGUACAAUUUAAAUCUCUUAACGAGGAACAAUUGGAGGGCAAGUCUGGUGCCAGCAGCCGCGGUAAUUCCAGCUCCAAUAGCGUAUAUUAAAGUUGUUGCAGUUAAAAAGCUCGUAGUUGAAUUUCGGGGUCAGUAGGUUGGUCGUGCCACAGGUAUGAACUGGUCUCACUGAUUCCUCCUUCCUGAUGAACCGUAAUGCCAUUAAUUUGGUGUUGCGGGGAGACUGGACUGUUACUUUGAAAAAAUUAGAGUGUUUAAAGCAGGCUAACGCUUGAAUACAUUAGCAUGGAAUAAUGAAAUAGGACGUUCGGUCUUAUUUUGUUGGUUUCUAAGAUUGACGUAAUGAUUAAUAGGGAUAGUUGGGGGCAUUAGUAUUCAAUUGUCAGAGGUGAAAUCCUUGGAUUUAUUGAAGACUAACUACUGCGAAAGCAUUUGCCAAGGAUGUUUUCAUUAAUCAAGAACGAAAGUUAGGGGAUCGAAGACGAUCAGAUACCGUCGUAGUCUUAACCAUAAACUAUGCCGACUAGGGAUCGGAUGAUGUUAAUUUUUUAAUGACUCAUUCGGCGCCUUACGGGAAACCAAAGUGUUUGGGUUC